GUUGUUUUACCCAAUACCGGUUGUUCCAGUCUGUCGCAGGAACGAACGGGAACCAGUCUAUUUCCAAUGUAAACACGGAUGCGCGUGAUGUUACGUUUUGUCGUCUGCUAACAUAUCCGCGAUGGCUGAAAGCAAACGGAGGCCGAAUUGGACUGAAGAAGAGCGAAUUUUACUAAUUGACAAUGUGAACAAAAUUCAACAUCGACUGUUUGGAAAAUUUAAAGGAUGCGGCACACAGAAGGGAGGAAAAAUCAAAGAACAAGCCUGGGAGGAGGUGGUGAAUACCCUAAACGCGUGUCCUGCAUGUGAAUCCUUAGUAAGAUGGAAGCUCCCGCCCAUCAAGUUUCUCGUCACUACAAUUGCUUGUACCACAGCGGUAAGACAUAUCCGGCGUCGUAUGGAACCCCAGGCAGUAUUUCAGAUCUUUGUCCCUGACGACAACAAAGAUGACAGAUACUGGUGUCGGAGGAAGAAGAACAAGGAGACAAGGAGAUCUUUGUCCCUGACGACAACAAAGAUGACAGAUACUGGUGUCGGAGGAAGAAGAACAAGGAGACAAGGAGAAUAUGACAAGGACCAGAAAACAGGAAAAAAGGUGUCAGCCUUUUUUGGACCCGACUUGUGGGACGAGACGUACGACAAUACUGACAUCAGCUUGGAAUACAUGGAUCUGGAAGAAUUCUUGAAAGAGAAUGGCAUCCCAAACAAUCCAGACAAUACGAACGCUGCCAAUCUGAACAAGUUUCAGUCUCCAAACAGACAGAUGAUCAGUAGUGGUCACAACCUCCAGGCCUGUGACAUGCCACAAGACACGUUAGCCAGGAACAGCCAACAAGCCAUCAACUCAGCUCCAGACACGUUACCCAGUAACAGCCAACAAGCCAUUAGUUCAGCUCCAGACACGUUUCCCAGUAACAGCCAACAAGCCAUUAGUUCAGCUCCAGACACGUUUCCCAAUGACAGUCCGCAAACCACUCCAUCACCACAAAAUAUGUUUCCCAAUGACAUUCCACAAGUCACUCCAUCGCCACAAAAUACGUUUCCCAAUGACGUUCCACAAACCACUCCAUCGCCACAAAAUAUGUUUCCCAAUGACAGUCGACAAACCACUCCAUCGCCACAAAAUAUGUUUCCCAAUGACAGUCGACAAACCACUCCAUCGCCACAAAAUAUGUUUCCCAAUGACAUUCCACAAACCACUCCAUGGCCACAAAAUAUGUUUCCCAAUGACAUUCCACAAACCACUCCAUCGCCACAAAAUAUGUUUCCAAAUGACAUUCCACAAGCCACUCCAUUGCCACCAAAUACGUUUCCCAAUGACAUUCCACAAACCACUCCAUCGCCACCAAAUAUGUUUCCCAAUGACAUUCCACAAACCACUCCAUCGCCACCACAUAUGUUUCCCAAUUAUAUACCACAAACCACUCCAUCGCCACCAAAUAUUUUUCCAAAUGACAUUCCACAAACCACUCCAUCGCCACCAAAUAUGUUUCCCAAUGACAUUCCACAAACCACUCCAUCGCCACAAAAUAUGUUUCUCAAUGACAUUCCACAAACCACUCCAUCGCCACCAAAUAUGUUUCCCAAUGACAUUCCACAAACCACUCCAUCGCCACAAAAUAUGUUUCUCAAUGACAUUCCACAAACCACUCCAUCACCACAAAAUAUGUUUCCCAAUGACAGCACGCAAGCCACCUCCUUGUCUCCAACCACGUGUCCCAGGCAACUGCCAUCUCACCAGUCACAGCUCGCCGUCUCGCAAUAUGACACGAUGCCAUCACCACCAACAUCAGCUCUAACAGAAAGAAAGCUUGGUGAAUCCAAGGCUACUGAGUCGUCGUACACGGACUGGCCCGAGCCUAAAGUAGACUUUGACCUUUCACCUCCUGAUUUGGCUUUGGCUUAAAAGACUUCGAUCCUCGAAAGCGAACAUUUUCAGAAGAGUUGAAACCUCAGCCGAUGUUUAAGAAAUCAAGAAAGAUCUUUGUCCCUGACGACAACAAAGAUGACAGAUACUGGUGUCGGAGGAAGAAGAACAACGUCGCAG
rnacentral:misc_RNA from 1 species